AAUCACACUUUGAGACUUUUUCUCUUCUUGCAUCAAAAUUACUAUGAAAUGCUACAAUAACAAUUACUAUUACAUUCAAAACUCAAAUCAACUUUGAGAUUUUGUCUUCUUCUUCCAUCAUAACUAGUAUGAAAUGUAGCAUUACAUUGAGAAGUUAAGAUCACACUUAUAUUUACAAAUCAUCAUAUAAAUGUUUCUCUUAUUCUCCUUUACUCUGUCCUUCCUCUCUCCUUUUUUUCUACUGAACGCAUUUCAUCCUGAAGAUAAAAUAACUCAUUAUCCAAUCUACGUAAUGUUCUGCAAACGAAAUGUUUUUUUAGUUUAAUAACUGAAUAUGAAAUAAUAAACAAAACAAUGAAGAAAAUAUAUAUGUAAAAACUAGAAAAAGUAUAUGAAUCUAACUAAUUAUAUAUAUAAUACCUUUGGUAGUUCCUUAACUUGAUUUUGAGAUUAAUAUCAUCACUCUUAGAAAAGUAUAUGUUUGCGUCUUCGUCGUCGCCAUCUUUGCCCAUUUGUUCAAACUCUAAAUAUUCAGAGAUGGCUAAAAGCAUUAUUUGUGUCGUUGGUAAAAAUUUACUU
rnacentral:lncRNA from 1 species